GCCGCCGUGGCGGAACUGGUAGACGCUGCGGACUUAAAAUCCGCUUCCCGCAAGGGAGUGGGGGUUCGACUCCCCCCGGCGGCA
rnacentral:tRNA from 1 species